GCUGGGCGCAGUGGCGCACGCCUAUAAUCCCUGCAACUCAGGAGGCUGAGGCAGGAGGAUCGCAAGCUCAAAACCAGCCUCAGCAAUGGUGAGGCGCUAAGCAACUCAGUGAGACCCUGUCUCUA
rnacentral:sRNA from 1 species